rnacentral:rRNA from 1 species
CCUACGGGAGGCAGCAGUGGGGAAUAUUGGGCAAUGGACGCAAGUCUGACCCAGCCACGCCGCGUGAAGGAAGAAGGCUCUCGGGUUGUAAACCUCUUUUAAUGGGGAAGAGUAGAAGACGGUACCCCUUGAAUAAGCCAUGGCUAACUACGUGCCAGCAGCUGCGGCCAUACGGAGGUGGCAAGCGUUGUCCGGAAUUACUGGGUGUAAAGGGUGUGCAGCCGGAGAGACAAGUCAGAUGUGAAAUCCGCGGGCUCAACCCGUGAACUGCAGUUGAACCUGUUUGCCUUGAGUAUCGGAGAGGUAAUCGGAAUUCGUGGUGUAGCGGUGAAAUGCGUAGAUAUUAGGAAGAACACCGAUGGCGAAGGCAGAUGACUGGACGACAACUGACGGUGAGGCGCGAAAGCGUGGGGAGCAAACAGGAUUAGAUACCCGGGUAGUC